rnacentral:lncRNA from 1 species
GGGAUAGUAAGGGCACCAACUAGCUAAAAAUGAGAAACAGUAAAUCAUCAUGGGGAACCAUCAACAUCUGGUAACUUACUUAAAUACUCAUGUGUAUUGGUCAUUGUCACAAAGGAUUAGAAAUCAGAAUCUCUAGUUGGAAGUUCAGGAUUUCUUACCUACCAGCUACGUAACUUUGACAAGUCAUUUGCAACAGCUGAUAUUGGGAUAAAUGGGAAAAGGGCAGUGUUGCUGCAAAGAUCAAGUAGAUAAAGUAUGAAAAGUGCUCUGACCUACACAGAUACAAAGUGAGCUUGUCGGCACUGGGGAGCUAAUCAGGAAAAGGACUGAUGGAAAGAGGAAGAGAGAACAUCUCUGUGGCAAAUCCCUCGUGACUGAGGACCGCAUAUCUGAUGAGUAAGCUUGGAUUUUGAAGACUUCAACAACUUGGCUGCAAGUUGAUGGGAGAAUUGACAUUCUAACCCAGCUCAGUUUGAAGCCUAUAGUCCACUCCACUCCACUCUACCAGCAAAGAACAUAGCCUUGCAAAACAGAGAACAGAAAACAGAAAUGCUUUUUCUUCACUCCCUGUUGGGAGGAUUCUGGAAUAGAGCUGUGAUUUGGCAUACUAUUUCUGCUCCACUUUUGAGUUUCUGCAGCAAACGGCAAGAGAAGGCUGGGGCUGGUAUAAUAAGGUCACCAGGCACCUCAGGGGAACAAAGUGGUAGCGAAAGAGGACCAGGCCGGGCCUGGUGGCUCAGGCCGGGUGUGGUAGCUCACGUCUGUAAUCCCAGAACGUUGGAAGGCCAAGGUGGGUGGAUCACCUGAGGUCAGGAGUGCGAGACCAGCCUGGCCAACAUGGUGAAACCCCGUCUCUACUAAAAAUACAAAAAUUAGCCAGGCG